rnacentral:rRNA from 1 species
UGCCAGCCGCCGCGGUAAUACGAAGGGUGCUAGCGUUGUUCGGAAUUACUGGGCGUAAAGGGCGCGUAGGCGGCCUGUUAAGUCAGAUGUGAAAGCCCUGGGCUCAACCCAGGAAUUGCAUUUGAUACUGGCAGGCUAGAGGUCAAGAGAGGUGAGUGGAAUUCCUAGUGUAGAGGUGAAAUUCGUAGAUAUUAGGAAGAACACCAGUGGCGAAGGCGACUCACUGGAUUGAUACUGACGCUGAGGCGCGAAAGCGUGGGGAGCAAACGGGAUUAGAUA